UACAGAGGGUGCGAGCGUUAAUCGGAAUUACUGGGCGUAAAGGGUGCGUAGGCGGUUACUUGAGUCGGGUGUGAAAUACCUGGGCUUAACCUGGGAAUUGCAUUCGAUACUGGGUGACUGGAGUAUGGUAGAGGGUAGUGGAAUUCCGGGUGUAGCGGUGAAAUGCGUAGAUAUCCGGAGGAACACCAGUGGCGAAGGCGGCUACCUGGACCAAUACUGACGCUGAGGCACGAAAGCGUGGGGAUCAAACAGG
rnacentral:rRNA from 1 species